UCACCCAAGAGGACAAGCCCCAAGGACGGAAAACAGAAAACACUGCUUCUUCCACUGUACCAUGGACUCCAGGCUCUUUCCCUGGAUGAUGCUCUGUCUCCUAGGAGCAGGGCCAGUGGAGGCUGAAGUCAAACAAACGCCAAGACAGCUGAUUAAAGCAAGAGGGCAACAGGUGACACUGAAUUGCACCCCUGACUCAGGGCACAACCGUGUGUUGUGGUACCAACAGACUCUGGACCAGGGCCUGCAGUUCUUCUUUGACUAUUACAGAGAAUCACAGAGUGCAAAAGGCAAUGUCCCAGACCGGUUCUCAGCUCACCAGUUCAGUGACUAUCGCUCUGAGCUGAGUGUGAGUGCCCUGGAGCUGGAGGACUCGGCUGUGUAUCUCUGUGCCAGCAGCUUGACACAGCCAUUCUGAGUCCCCAGCCUGCUGUGCACAAACC